GGGGAAUAUUGCAAAAUGGGCGAAAGCCCGAUGCAGCAACGCCGCGUGGGCGAUGAAGGCCUUCGGGUCGUAAAGCCCUUUUUGAGGGGAUGAGGAAGGACAGUACCCUCAGAAUAAGCCUCGGCUAACUACGUGCCAGCAGCCGCGGUAAAACGUAGGAGGCGAGCGUUAUCCGGAUUUACUGGGCGUAAAGCGCGUGCAGGCGGAUUGGAGAGUUGGAUGUGAAAGCUCCCGGCUUAACUGGGAGAGGUCGUUCAAUACUUCCAGUCUUGAGUGCAGUAGAGGGAAGUGGAAUUCCGGGUGUAGUGGUGAAAUGCGUAGAUAUCCGGAGGAACACCAGUGGCGAAAGCGGCUUCCUGGACUGUAACUGACGCUCAGACGCGAAAGCUAGGGUAGCAAAC
rnacentral:rRNA from 1 species